GGCGGCGGAUGUUCCUUUAAGGCCUGGCUGCUGCUCUCUGAUUGGCUGGAACAGGACGGACCGGUUGUGUUACCUGCUCCCUGUAGUACCAGUCAGAACUGAUAGUGCUCCUGUGUGGGUUCCGACUCCUGAGAGGCCCAUGGACUGAGCAGCCUGACACCCUGGGGAGACACAGAGAGAUGGAGCCGGACUAUGGGGCUGGAGCUGCCCCAGGGGUAACUAUGGAUCAUCCAGGUGAGCCCAUCUGCCCCCCAAACUCCUCGCAGAGGGAAGGGGGUGACCGCUCGGAUUGCUGCCCCCCACUGGGCAAUAAUGAACACCUUGAGGAGCCCAAGGAGCCCGACCCUAGUGAUGGAGCCGACUGGGCCACCCCAAGGGACCGGACUAGUGGGGGGGACCAGGGGGCUACUGGGGGGGAU